rnacentral:lncRNA from 1 species
CUGGGAGAGAGCGAGAGAGAAAUCCGGUUAAAAUCAGAGUCGGAGGGAGGUUUAACCACAGAUCGGUUCCGAUCGGAUUAUUCCUUAAAGGGGACGCGCCAUUGUCAAGAGAACGGAGCCAGGGGCCCGAGGGCGGGGACCGGCGGCGCUGGAGGAGCGAGGCAGCUGUACUAGGACUGGGAACGGGUAUCGUGCAUUUCAAAGAAUA